rnacentral:rRNA from 1 species
AUUGAACGCUGGCGGCAGGCCUAACACAUGCAAGUCGAGCGGAUGAGAAGAGCUUGCUCUUCGAUUCAGCGGCGGACGGGUGAGUAAUGCCUAGGAAUCUGCCUGGUAGUGGGGGACAACGUUUCGAAAGGAACGCUAAUACCGCAUACGUCCUACGGGAGAAAGCAGGGGACCUUCGGGCCUUGCGCUAUCAGAUGAGCCUAGGUCGGAUUAACUAGUUGGUGAGGUAAUGGCUCACCAAGGCGACGAUCCGUAACUGGUCUGAGAGGAUGAUCAGUCACACUGGAACUGAGACACGGUCCAGACUCCUACGGGAGGCAGCAGUGGGGAAUAUUGGACAAUGGGCGAAAGCCUGAUCCAGCCAUGCCGCGUGUGUGAAGAAGGUCUUCGGAUUGUAAAGCACUUUAAGUUGGGAGGAAGGGCAGUAAGUUAAUACCUUGCUGUUUUGACGUUACCGACAGAAUAAGCACCGGCUAACUCUGUGCCAGCCGCCGCGGUAACAC